AUUGAACGCUGGCGGCAGGCCUAACACAUGCAAGUCGAGCGAGCGGCGGACGGGUGAGUAAUGUCUGGGAAACUGCCUGAUGGAGGGGGAUAACUACUGGAAACGGUAGCUAAUACCGCAUAACAUCAGAUGUGCCCAGAUGGGAUUAGCUAGUAGGUGGGGUAAUGGCUCACCUAGGCGACGCUCCCUAGCUGGUCUGAGAGGAUGACCAGCCACACGGGAACUGAGAAACGGUCCAGACUCCUACGGGAGGCAGCAGUGGGGAAGAUUGCACAAUGGGCGCAAGCCUGAUGCAGCCAUGCCGCGUGUAUGAAGAAGGCCUUCGGGUUGUAAAGUACUUUCAGCGGGGAGGCGUUACUCGCAGAAGAAGCACCGGCUAACUCCGUGCCAGCAGCCGCGGUAAUAC
rnacentral:rRNA from 1 species